rnacentral:rRNA from 1 species
AGCAGUGGGGAAUAUUGCACAAUGGGCGGAAGCCUGAUGCAGCGACGCCGCGUGAGGGAUGACGGCCUUCGGGUUGUAAACCUCUUUCAGCAGGGAAGAAGCCACAAGUGACGGUACCUGCAGAAGAAGCGCCGGCUAACUACGUGCCAGCAGCCGCGGUAAUACGUAGGGCGCAAGCGUUGUCCGGAAUUAUUGGGCGUAAAGAGCUCGWAGGCGGUUUGUCGCGUCUGCUGUGAAAGCCCGGGGCUCAACCCCGGGUCUGCAGUGGGUACGGGCAGACUAGAGUGCAGUAGGGGAGACUGGAAUUCCUGGUGUAGCGGUGAAAUGCGCARAUAUCAGGAGGAACACCGAUGGCGAAGGCAGGUCUCUGGGCUGUUACUGACGCUGAGGAGCGAAAGCAUGGGGAGCGAACAGGAUUAGAUACCCUGGUAGUCCAUGCCGUAAACGUUGGGCACUAGGUGUGGGGGACAUUCCACGUUCUCCGCGCCGUAGCUAACGCAUUAAGUGCCCCGCCUGGG